GAGGAGGAAGAAGAAAAAAAGAAGAAAAAGAAAAAGAAGAGGAGGAGGAGGAGGAAGAGGAGAAGGUAAACGAACCACUUCCAGACCACAGCAGAGUGCGGCCACCUGAACACCCCAUUAGGCGAGGCAGGAGGGAGGCAAUUAAGUAAGGAACGCUGCCGCUGCCUCCUCCCCUUCAUUGAGCCGCAGUUUGUCCAGGGCUGACCAGGAAGCUAUGUAGCCCACCACUCCCUCCACGGUGCCCUCAAACGCCACACGGAACGCCCCCUCCUCACUCCUGCAGGGGAAGAGAAGGGGAGUGACUCAGGAUGAAAGGGGAACAGAAACAAAAAUAAGAAUAUCUUCAACUGGAGCCUUUGAAAAGCAGUGACGAGUUUUCAUCCCAUCAGCCGCUAUGAAGAGAAAACAAGUCCAUGGGUCUCCAGGAUGUGGCGAUGGGAUGAAACUAGAACGUACAGAGGCAGCCAAGACUUGCCCUAUGUGUGUGUCGUCCGGGUACAGCUGCGGCAAGGUGG